GAGUGCCUGCCCUGUGGAAGCCAGACCUAGGCAGUAUUUCAGCCCCUUUGAUUCACACACCACCUUUGCAUCAUUGGAAAUGCCUUUGACCAGCAAUGGAAAAUAAAGGGAACAUACUGCAGUUUCAAUUGUUGUGGGACUCAGGUUUUCUCUCAGCACCGCAUACACACUUGGAGACAUGGGAAGAAGGUCUGAUGGAGAAUAUGUCUCCGUUGAAUCACUUCGGCUUAAAGAGAUAACAAGAGGGCAUGAAGUCAGGUGGCUGCAAGUCUGUGAGUGACAACUGUAGGAUAUUCUACAUGAUGGUGCCCAAAGAUUUAGUGCUAUAGAUGAAGAUUUUUAUGGAUUGUAUACACUUUCAUUAAAGAAACAGAAUGGUAAACGUA